rnacentral:rRNA from 1 species
UACAGAGGGUGCGAGCGUUAAUCGGAAUUACUGGGCGUAAAGCGUGCGUAGACGGUUAUCUAAGUCGGAUGUGAAAGCCCCGGGCUCAACCUGGGAAUUGCAUUCGAGACUGAAUAGCUAGGGUGCGGUAGAGGGAAGCGGAAUUUCCGGUGUAGCGGUGAAAUGCGUAGAUAUCGGAAGGAACAUCAGUGGCGAAAGCGGCUUCCUGGACCAGCACCGACGUCAGGCACGAAAGCGUGGGGAGCAAAGC